GGGGUUGUGGCUCAGUGGUAGAGCACUUGCCUAGCAUGUGUGAGGCACUUGAGUUUGAUUCUCAGCACCA
rnacentral:tRNA from 1 species